rnacentral:rRNA from 1 species
AGAAGACCCCAUGGAGCUUCAAACCCAAUUACNCCCCUAACCCCUAUAACUACUUAACCCUUAGGAUUCUGUAUUAUUGGUUUUAGGUUGGGGCGACCACGGAGUACAACAAAACCUCCACAAUGAACGGAACUACUUCCUCAUCUGAGAGCUACACCUCUAAGAAUUAAAAUAUUAACAUAAAAUGAUCCAUUUUUGAUCAAUGAACCAAGUUACCCUGGGGAUAACAGCGCAAUCCAUUUCAAGAGCCCCUAUCGACAAAUGGGUUUACGACCUCGAUGUUGGAUCAGGGUAUCCUGGUGGUGCAGCAGCUACUAAAGGUUCGUUUGUUCAACGAUCAAAACCCU